rnacentral:rRNA from 1 species
UACGUAGGGUGCAAGCGUUAAUCGGAAUUACUGGGCGUAAAGCGUGCGCAGGCGGUUUUGUAAGUCUGUCGUGAAAUCCCCGGGCUUAACCUGGGAAUGGCGAUGGAGACUGCAAGGCUAGAGUUUGGCAGAGGGGGGGUAGAAUUCCACGUGUAGCAGUGAAAUGCGUAGAGAUGUGGAGGAACACCGAUGGCGAAGGCAGCCCCCCUGGGUUAACACUGACGCUCAGGCACGAAAGCGUGGGGAGCAAACAGG